AUUAGUUUCACUGUUGCAGACCAUGAAGAGCAAAGCCCUGUAUCCGGAGAACGGAGAGUUAGCUUGGAAGCAAAUGCCAACGAGCCUGAGGAAAAGAACCUAGCUAACGUCAUAUCAAUUGAUCUCCACACCAAAAGUCUGCAGCAUGAUAAUGGCAGAAUAGCUGAAGAGACUGAUAAAGGUACAACUGAAUUAAUCCUGUAUCCCCAAUAAAAGCUCUGCAACAUUGAUGAGUGAAGAUAAUAUGUAUGCUGAACAUCUAAAUCCACCUGUGCCAGCUCUCAUUCACUGUUUUUUUCUAAAGAUCUUGCUUCAAGAUUUUCAAUUCACUAAAUUAAACUUGCUAAAUCUCCAGAUGUUUUGUCUUUUGUUUUCCCUAUUGAAGAGCAUGAAGAAAAAUAUGCAGUUAGCCCUAUAGCCGUUGAAAAGAGCUUCCGUCAGGAAGCAAGUGCAAUUGAAUCUGCAGGAAAACCCCUAACUGUCAUCUUUUCUAACGAUCUCCACACCAAACAUCUGCAACAUGAUUGUGAUGUGCUAAUUAAGGAGACUGGUGAAGGUAAUAUUGCAUUAAUACUUGUUCCACAACUUGUUACUGAUCUGCGGAGAUGGUGAUGAAAACUUGUGCUGUUUGCACUGUGUUGACAUUUUUUAAAUGUAUUCUUUCCCUUUCUCAGAAGUUUUAGCUCAGGAGAAUUGUAAUGACCAGCCUGUUCCUGCCCAGACCGACCUAGAAAUUAAGUUAAAUGAUGAACUUGCUGAUCCGGGUAUGGACCGUGUUUAAUUUACCAAUUUUAAACAUACCGAGUUCUAAGUCAAGUUGUUGGCUACUUGUAAUUCUAAUUGUUUUUAAUAGGCUUUAUAUUUAUUCUAUCUGCAAAAGCUAGGCAUAUGUUUCAUUGUCAUUUGAUGUCUUUUAAGUAUCUGACAUUUAUUUUUUAAAUGUAUUCUUUCCCUUUAUCAGAUGUUUUAGCUCAGGAGAAUUGUAAUGACCAGCCUGUUCCUGCCAACGAGCCUGAGGAAAAGAACCUAGCUAACGUCAUAUCAACUGAUCUCCACACCAAAACUCUGCAGCAUGAUAAUGACAGAAUAGCUGAAGAGACUGAUAAAGGUACAACCGAAUUAAUCCUGCCCAGACUGACCUAGAAAUUAAGUUAAACGAUGAACUUGCUGAUCCGGGUAUGGACUGUGUUUAAUUUACCAAUUUUAAACAUACUGCAGAGUUUUGGUUUAUCAAUUAGUUUCACUGUUGCAGACCAUGAAGAGCAAAGCAAUGUGUUCGGAGAACGGAGAGUUAGCUUGGAAGCAAAUGCCAACGAGCCUGAGGAAAAGAACCUAGCUAACGUCAUAUCAACUGAUCUCCACACCAAAACUCUGCAGCAUGAUAAUGACAGAAUAGCUGAAGAGACUGAUAAAGGUACAACCGAAUUAAUCCUGCCCAGACUGACCUAGAAAUUAAGUUAAACGAUGAACUUGCUGAUCCGGGUAUGGACUGUGUUUAAUUUACCAAUUUUAAACAUACUGAGUUCUAAGUCAAAUUGUUGGCUACGUGUAAUUCUAAUCAUUAGCUUUGUCCAUUAUUGUCAUGUUAUAUACUGAAAGGAAGACUUUGUCGUUCCAAAAUCACCAAAUGGUUUAUCAAUUAGUUUCACUGUUG
rnacentral:lncRNA from 1 species